rnacentral:lncRNA from 1 species
AGAGAGUAAAGAUUCUAGUUAGACUUUUGUACUUGAUCCUAAUCUGUUCUAAGGUCUUUUAGAACAAAUGUAACUCCCACUAUUUUCUCGAAUCCCUCACACUCCCCUGGUAGGGAAACGGAAAUCCCACACGACUAGGGUUUCUAGUGGGUACUGCGGUCCCACCAAUUUACAUGCCACCUCACCUAACAGUUAUUGGUGACACAUAGAUUGAUGAAUGUACAACUCUUGUACAAUGCUUCUCAAGCAUGUUGCAGUGUAACUUGGUCUCUAAGCCAUAAAAACCUCACCUAACAGUUAUUGGUCUCAUUUCUUAGUUAAGUCAGACCCACCGUAUAACCGUAGGAAUAAAGUCGUCAUUGGGUCCUCACCUAACAGUUAUUGGUGCCCAACCCCACCUUUACCCUACAACAUCUCAUGUCUAUAGAGAGGUCUAGCCCCCCGAUGCAACUUAACCACUGUGUCCAGCCGAGACAAAUCAACAUCAGAAAGGCCUUAGCAGCUCUACUACAGUGGAAGACC